rnacentral:sRNA from 1 species
AUUAAAGUCCUUUUUGAAAAAUCCCUUGCUGCCAGAGAAUAGCUACAACUUUGGCAGAGGCAGUGCUAAGUUUCUCAGUCUGGUGCUGUGCCAGGGUGAGUCAAUCUUGACCCCUUGGAGGAUGAUUAGCAGAGAGGGGAUAGUUAAACCUUUAUGCCCAUUCAGUCCUAGGUUUCU